GAACUAAAAUGUGUGUGCUCAUGUCAUGAUGAAAGAAAUAAUUGUCUUAAAAAACAUAAAUGCGACAGAGAUUGCAUAACCGAAGACCCUGACAAAAUGAACAAGAUCCUACAUGCCUCAAGCAGUACAGCAACUGAUAGUAUAUUUUUCCAGACAGCAAACUAGAAACAUAGCGAACAAUGCACUUCACAAAUCUAAGGACCUCGGAAACUGUCUGCUUUGUCCAGUCUUGAGAUACCUGAGCUUGAGGACUCUCCCAUUACAUCAGGAGAAGAUGUUGGAUGGUGUUCGCGCUUCAAAGAAGUAGGCAGUCCUGAAACUUCCUUCAUCAAAUGCAGUCUCAAGUCACAAGGCCGAACUUG
rnacentral:misc_RNA from 1 species